rnacentral:rRNA from 1 species
GGCUUCGAUCAUUAGUUGGUCUGAGAGGAUGAUCAGCCACAAUGGAACUGAGACACGGUCCAUACUUCUACGGAAGGCAGCAGUAGGGAAUUUUGCGCAAUGGACGAAAGUCUGACGCAGCAAUGCCGCGUGUAGGAAGAAGCAUCUUGGUGUGUAAACUACUGUCGGCGGGGAAAAACAAAAUGAUUGUACCCGCAAAGGAAGCAUCGGCUAACUACGUGCCAGCAGCCGCGGUAAGACGUAGGAUGCAAGCGUUGUCCGGAUUUAUUGGGCGUAAAGAGUUCGUAGGCGGUAAUUCAAGUCUAAUGUGAGAUAAUAGGGCUCAACUCUAUUCCCGCAUUGGAUACUGUUUUACUUGAGUAGGGUAGGGGUCAGAAGAAUUCCUGGUGUAGCGGUGAAAUGCGUAGAUAUCAGGAGGAACACCGGUGGCGAAAGCGUCUGACUGGGCCUUUACUGACGCUGAGGAACGAAAGCUAGGGGAGCGAAAGGGAUUAGAUACCCC